rnacentral:rRNA from 1 species
UACGGAGGAUGCAAGCGUUAUCCGGAAUUAUUGGGCGUAAAGCGUCCGCAGGUGGUUAUCCAAGUCUGCUGUUAAAGCGCGAGGCUUAACUUCGUACAGGCAGUGGAAACUGGGUGACUGGAGUAUGGUAGGGGUAGCGGGAAUUCCCAGUGUAGCGGUGAAAUGCGUAGAUAUUGGGAAGAACACCAGCGGCGAAAGCGCGCUACUGGGCCAUUACUGACACUCAUGGACGAAAGCUAGGGGAGCAAACGGG